CCGAUGCGCCGCCGUACCAUUUUGCCGCCGUUCGAAUCGAAAAACGCCAGACUUUUCAUUUGAUUUCUUAUUUACAAUCAUUUAUUAUAAGCGUUCGAUCCUGUGGCACAUUUUUUUCCCACCCUCUCCUACUCCUCCGGUCUAAAUUUUAUACGUUUUUUUUUUUUACGCUCUACAGUAGGUACCUGCCGACGCACGAUGUUAAUGUUAGGUAGGUCGUAGGUACUAUGCAUGUUUAGAAAACUAUUCUCUAUUUGAAUCCGUGUUGGCGGAUUCCCGUUUGAAGUGUAAGCGUAAUAUAAUCAUUUAAGGCGAUUUCACGGUGGCGGCGAAAUGUCCAAUAUCCGUAGGCGCGCGUCUCUACGACAAUUUCGAUCGGGUAUAACUGUCGGUACAAUGGAGUUUUCGUAUGCGUGCGUAAUAUUUUUGUACCUGAUGUUUUUGUUUUUUUUUUUUUUUUCUAACGUUCGGUUUUCCUUUUUCAGUUUUCUUUACGAUGAAAUCACCGUAACGUUACGCAAUCGGUACUGUGCCAUCGCGACUUACAAUAAUUGUUCGCCGAGAAUAAAAAUGAGUGUCCCCCCGGCGGUAAACUACGCAACUUCACGGUG